rnacentral:lncRNA from 1 species
CUGCUUUGAGGAGCUGUUCCGUGCCAGCUGUGAGCAGCACUGACACAGUGUGUGUGAGCACGGGGGGUCAUGCUCCUCACCCACUGCAGCACUGACACAGUGUGUGUGAGCACGGGGGGUCAUGCUCCUCACCCACUGCCUCCUCCUCUUUCUGUUGGCCCUGCAAGCCCAGGACGCCCAGACUGCUCCAGUCCAAGGGCAGGGAGCAGAUGUGGCCAGAGGGAGGGCUCUUCCAGCUCCUCAGACAGUUCCCAUGCUGAUUCCCAGCUGGUAUCCCAGGGUGUCCUUGUAUAAAGUUAAAACAAGGAAGGAUUUCCAGAGGACUCCUGAAGUUCCAAAAGAGGCCCUGAAAAACUUGGAGAAAGCCACAUCAGAGAUGGAGACAGAGCAGAAGGAAGCCUUGCAGAUGAGAAGCAGCAACAGGGUGCCAGUCUCAGGCAGAGAGGCAGUACAAGAAGCCAGCACACCUGCUCAGCCUCAGGGGCGUCCUGGAGGGCCAGGUGCUGGGGAAAAGGCUGGUCAUGGGGAACUGAGCAAGUUCUACAUCCUAGGCACUGCAGCAACCCUGGGUGUGCUGCUGCUUGGGAUAGUGGUACUGGGCAUAGUCCUGUCAGUGCUGAGCAGGAGAGACACAAGGACCCAGAGAACCAGAGAAGCACCGGGACAAGCCAACACCGAGAGCUCCAGCCCAUCCCCGGUGGUCUUUGCAGCCCAGCUCGCCCAGAUGUCCAGGCACAUGGUCACGGGGCCCUCACCUCUGCCCACGUGCCCCAGCUGCUCUCUGGCUGACUGUGCCUCUUCAUGUGACAACUGGAUUUUGCUGGACUCCUCUCAGCCCACACCGUUUGGGUAUCGCUGUUACCAGUGCCAGGGAUACUGCACAUUGAAAGAGGAUUGUUUUGUGAAUGGAUAAAAGAUAUAUUUUUGCC